CACAUACAUGCACAACACAUAUACAUGCAAUACACUUUCAUACACAUAAAUGCAAACUCACAUACAUAUAUACACCCCUCAAAGACCCCAUUAUUCAAUUCUAAACAAAGUGGUUUAUCCCCCAAAUGUACCUUCUCGUAAUUAAUAAGCUCUACUGCACAUUUCUUGUUUCAAAUAAUGAGGUCUCACACACAGCACACACACAUUUAUACUCCAAUACGUGUGAACAUACAAAUAGAAAUAGGCACACGGGCACGAAGACCCUCUUCUGUAAAGGUAUUCUCAAACUUGAACUGAACGAAUUCUGCUAAUUAUAGUCAGAGUCAGCAAAGAUAUAUAUUUGACCUCGGAAUGAAUAUACUCGUUCUUUUCGUUACCCCUGGCAACAGCAAGAAUGUAAAACAGAGUUGUGUGAUACGAUGCCACUUAUUCAAUCCCACUUCCUGGGAUCUGACCCACUUGUAAUAGCGUUUCUGUCUGAGUGAUUUCCUUCUGACUAAAAUCAUGAGAUAAUUCCUUCCCUUCCUGCUUUCUCUUUCCCAGGCCUUUUCACUACCCUUUCAUCAUCUCGGAAACUAAAUCAUAGUUGUCAAAAUGGAAGGCAAAGAAACAGCCUUAGGAGAGAAUCCCACAAUGGAAUGGACCCAAGACAGGAAAAAAAUAUUCUUUUUGAAAAUGUACAAAAGGAAAAGUCAAGAGGCCUGGGUUCCCUCUCACGACAGAAACAGACGUUGGCAAAGCAAGUCGCUCAGCACAGUUCAGCUCUGUGGAUGAAACAGAGAUUCUAGUCCUUGUCCCUGUUUCAAGCUCUGUGUAUGAAACAGAUUCUAGCCCUUGUCUCUGUUUCAUGAUGUUGCAGUGAAGGAAACAAAACAGACAAAGGGCACAGGCUGGAGAAAAGGAUUUUAAAAGGAUGACUUUCAAAAUGUGCACCUGCUUUUCAAGGGCACAAUGAGGACACUACCAAGUAUAUUAAAGCUGAUCUAUAAGAGACAGGUAUAAAGACUCUACAAGGUCAUUAGACUUACAAAGAAAACAACAUUCUCCUAGCAUCACGAGUCAGGUGUUCCACAAACACUAAGAAUAGCCACCGCAACGGGAUCCACUAUGAGGUGUCAAAACAUAACCCAGGAAGCGUGGCCGAGAGCUCCUAUAACCUGAUUUCUAGGAAUCUAAUUUUAACUAUCCUCACAGCUAGCACAUCACAAAAAUACAGAGCUCCAAAUGCUGUAACACAAGUGCUAACAACACCUAAGCCAAAAAUAUACGAGGCAUUUCAGGCAAAAAUCCCAGAAUCAGAAGAACACAAGUUUUCUAAGUUCUUCAAAAGCUGGUGCCGGUUGAGGCUCUUCUGCAGACUUCAACAAAAGACACGCUGGAAUUAGCCAUUGACGGUAACCCUGAGUCAACACGCACAGUGUUCGGAAAAGCACAAGGCCUGCUCCGGCCUUGAGACCCCUGGGAACUUUCUCUGGACCGCACCAAGUGGACGACUUUGAGGACUCAAAAUAACCAACAACCAGUCCAUGAACAGAGAAAGAAGACUGCAGCCUCCCUGGGGACCUGGCUCCAUGCCUGCCCCCUUUCUUCCGGAUACCUUUGCCCUUCCCGGCUCCCUGCUACACCUGGAUACACUCUGGGUUCAGGCCCCUCUCCAGCUGUGUCUCGGUCCACAGCUGGCUGCCCGUGUGAAGCACCAGGCCUUGAAGGACCAUCUCCACCUGCUCCCUGCACUUCCCACCCACUUCCGCGAGACCCCCAGGCUCUAGAUGCUCUCAGGGAUCAGGGCCGCCAGGCUCCCCUCACAGGCUUCAACUGGAGUCCUGCCCCCUGGUUUUCAGCAAGACUUGGGACUUUCUCCUGGAAACUCUCGGCUCUGGGCUUUAGUGAACUGCGCCAUCCAGCUCUUCUCUGGACUGUAAGCAGGGCCUUUUCUGGGUCUUCCAACCCUUCCUCCAUUUCCAAAUGUGGGCUUUCCUUUGGCCUCCUCUCUCCAGACAUGCACGCCUCACACUCUGGCUACUUGACCUGCACUUCUACCUAAGAGAAUCCCAAAUGCACCCUGCUCCAGAUUUUCCCCAAGCCUCCUCCUGUAUUUCCAAACUCGCAGCUUGCAGUGGUGUCUCUAAGUAUCUCUGAGUCAGGUCCACACUUGCUUCUCCUCCUGAUCUCCGACAAAGCGCAACGCCGACCUCGGGGUGCAGACUCACAGCUUCAUCCACCUUCCUGCACUCCCUCUUCCCCUCCUGACCCAGGCACCGAAUCGCUCAGCUCACUGGCUGCCUUCUCUCCUCCUCUCGCAGCGGUGAGUGCCCUGCAUGAGCCUGCCCUGUCCCCCCGGGCUCCACGGCACGCCGCACAUCAGAGACAUGAUUCUCUCCGAAACCCUCAGUGGGUCCCUAGUAUCUGACAGAAGGGUCAAAACUGUGGCAGACCUGCGAUGGCUGUGGUUGAGGAAAGAGGCCACACCCACAGCCGGCAGAACCACGCUCAGCAGCAGCCUAGCCCCGCGUGGAAGAGGCGUGAACACUCUCGGGAGAGGUGGAUGUGCACUAACGGUUCCCAGCUCUGAUCUCUUUGAUUAACUGAAUAUGGUGAUUGGUUUUAUCUGAACUUCAGACAAAAAGGGUGUCUACGUCCAGGAAAGACUCUAAACAUUCUGGACCCAUCCUGGGGCAGACGGUGACCGUGACCAGUGAUACCACUCUCCAGGGGGCAGCAUGGUCUGCAGAAGGGGAGACCCCUAAGGCAGCCCUACCCCAGCGUGGGUGAGUUUCUGUUGUAAUUCUAUGUCCAGUGUAAAUAAACUGUGGAAAACUGGGAGAUGGUACAAGAAAGCAAGGAUGCCAACUAAAUGAAUAGAAAGAUCUACAAGGGAAGGCUGAGAUCGGCUGAAAUCAGCUGAAAUAGGCUUGGGAAAGUAAAGGCCAGGCUGGAACUUCGUAACGGCUUUCGAGGCUCGGGAACACGGACGGUAGCUGCCCUGUCCAUCCCAGGAGAGAACAGACGGGCUUAGUUGGAAAGCACUUCCCUGACUAAAAGUGUCUUUAAAAAGGGAAAUCUCAGAAUUGCCCUCCCUGGAACGCUUUAACCCUUUAUGGAACACAGCAGAAAUUCCACAGCCCUGCAUCCCAGGAAGCAGGGACAGGACAGCAGCCUCCAGCACACAGAAGCACUUAGAGGCAUAAGCAGCUAUGCAAAGAUGGCACGAUCCGUGCCUCAAAAAGGCCAAGAUCUCUGAGAAAUAAAGUUGUAUGCAGAUUUACACCUGGGCAGCUUGAAAUGCGUGUGCCAUGACAGUUCCGGAAGCUUGUCUACUCGAAGGUCCGCAUUCAGGUAUGUUUCACAGUCACCACAACUAGACUUUCAGAAAUUUAAAACUCCUAAUAAAGAAAUGCAAACCUGCACAUCUCACGCCACCACCUAAAGCAGCGGUUCUCAAGUAGGGGCGAUUCUGCUGGGGGGAGGGAUGCUGAUGGCAUCGUGGGAGGCAGAGGUCUGACACUCAGCACCGCAGGCACCGAGAACAGUCUCCUCACAAAGUCUCCCCACAAGGGCUUCGGGGGGCCACACCAGAGGAUGGGAGGCAGGGGUGACACUCAGCACCGCAGGCACUGAGGACAGCCUCCUCCUCACAAAGGCUCCCCACAAGGGCUCCGGGGAGCACACCAGAGGAUGGGAGGCAGGGGUGACACUCAGCACUGCAGGCACCAAGGACAGCCUCCUCCUCACAAAGGCUCCCCACAAGGGCUCCGGGGAGCACACCAGAGGGUGGGAGGCAGGGGUGACACUCAGCACUGUAGGGACCAAGGACAGCCUCCUCCUCACAAAGCCUCCCCACAGAGGCUCCGGGGAGCACACCAGAGGAUGGGAGGCAGGGGUGACACUCAGCACUGCAGGCACUGAGGACAGCCUCCUCCUCACAAAGCCUCCCCACAGAGGCUCUGGGGAGCACACCAGAGGGUGGGACGCAGGGGUGAUGCUCAGCAUCACAGGCACUGAGGACAGCCUCCCACAAAGGCUCCUCUGGGCCAGAGCAUCCAUAGUGCUGAGGGGAAAAGCCCGGACACAAAGGAUCAAGUGUUUUCAACAUAGCUCAGGGCAUCUCCACACAGGAACUCCCAUCUGCCUGUUGUGCAAAGUCUGGGGACUUGCAAUCAAUAAACCUUCACAAGACACAACACAUGGACCUAACAAUUCUAUUUCGCUCUGGGAGAGAGAAAAGAAGGAAUGGUUUGGGGAGCUGCAUUGAAAUUCCGUGAGUUCUUGACUAAAAAUCACCAAGUCCGCUGUGUUCUGUUAUCAGCAGUCCUGGGUAGGCCCAGACCCACCUUACCCCCAGCGGGACCCAGGCAAGGCUUUAAACCCCAAACGUCCCUUUUCGUAACACUGGCUGUUUCGUGUGGUUAAUAAAUCAUCCAAUAAGAUGACACGCAUAAGCCUAGUUAUAAACCUGGCACGUUAACGCUAUUGAUCAUUGUCAGACAUCCGGGUUAAUCAACUUCACAAUGCUACAGAGAAAUCAUUGGUACUAAGAGUUGUAAGGAUGAUUUUUUUAAAUUUAUGUACCUCAAUUUUUAUAGUUACUUUUUACAUUUUAAAAAAUGCAUAUUCUAAAAUAUUUUUGAUAUUUUAAAAUGUUAAUGUAUCAAGCAUUUUAAAACGCACCAAAUAUAUAUCUACUAAUACAUAGGGAAUUUUUAAAUAAAUAUCAGGGUAGAAGGAAUUAAAACUCCUAACAUAACACUAAAUAGACAGGAAAAAACAAAGUAGAGAGUUCUCACAGAUUCCUGAAGGAAUAUAUUGUAACAAAGUUCAAAAAGUACAUUAAAACCUUUAUAACUAUAAAAUGUUUUAAUUACCAACUAACAAGAAACUAUCUACUGAAUCGCGACUAGCAGAUCCCCAGAUCUGUUCAACACCUGUACCCUAGCCUGGGUCUGCUGAGGAACAGAUCGAUUCUGUUGGAGUUGACCUCGAAAUUAAAAAAAAAAAAAAAAAAAAAAAAACAGCUUUACAGAUUUAGAUUUCCUGAAUAAAACAGAAAAUAAAAAUAAC